rnacentral:rRNA from 1 species
CUUAAAUUGAAGAGUUUGAUCAUGGCUCAGAUUGAACGCUGGCGGCAGGCCUAACACACGCAAGCCGAGCGAAAACGUGUUAUAUGAACAUUCGGUGGA